UAAUAUUUCACAUCAGGUUAUCUACAUUGCAAAUGUGUCGCUUAGCUUCUUUUAUUGAGGCACAAGGAAAGGAAAGGUGGAAAAUGCAACUUGGGCAUUUCCCCCCCGUUAUUCGAAGCAGAAUAUAGACUGAAUACAGAAAUAAUCUUCAUUUGCCGGGCUGCCUGUUCAUCUAUGGGUCACCUAGAAACUCAUCCUUUGUGUUUCUGGUAGGUUGCUGGAUCUGGCAUAAACUACAUAAAAUUCAAGUUGAUUGGGAACCCAAAUAUUUUGUUCCAAGAUGUCCUAACAGGAUCAGUUUAUGUUAAUUGUGUAUCAAGUUUAUGUUAUUGUAGGGAAUGACAAUCACCACCAGGUGGCAACACUACAACUAUUUGUUUCCUUUAAAAACACACAAAUAACACCCCACCCCCACCUGCUUUUCAGUUCAAAAUGCUAAGAAGGCCACAUCUUUUUUGUUUCAGCAAUAUAUUCCACGCACUGGUAUUAUCCCUCAGGAAAUUUCCAGGACCUACGGAACAUGGAAUUCUACACGCAACAAUAUUAUGGUUUUUAAAGUCGCUAGUCCAUUCUGAUGAUUAAGCAUUUGUAAAGGUAAAGGUAAAGGGACCCCUGACCAUUAGGUCUAGCCGUGGCUGACUCUGGGGUUGCGGCGCUCAUCUCGCUUUACUGGCUGAGGGAGCCAGCGUACAGCUUCCAGGUCAUGUGGCCAGCAUGACUAAGCUGCUUCUGGCGAAACCAGAGCAGCGCACGGAAACGCCGUUUACCUUCCUGCCGGAGCGGUCCCUAUUUAUCUACUUGCACUUUGACGUGCUUUCAAACUGCUAAGUUGGCAGGAGCAGGGACCAAGCAAUGGGAGCUCACCCUGUCGCGGGGAUUCGAACCGCCAACCUUCUGAUCGGCAAGUCCUAGGCUCUGCGGUUUAACCCAUAGUGCCACCCGCACCAAAGCUGUUCUAACUUCCUGCUCAGACUGAGAGGGUUAUUGUAGGUGCUCUGGGGAAUCCUAAAUACAUACUCUCUAUGAUUUUACACAUGAAGGCAGGGAUGCUUUUGGGUCUGCAGUAUCACAUCACAAAAUGCUGCCUGAGCAAUCUCAGCCGUGCUUACUCCACAGUGGUGACUUGUCUUCAUUUGGUUUGCCAACAUCGUCUUCUCCCCAUGUUUUGAACUACAGUUCCUAUUAGCCCCAGGCAGCAAGGAGUUGCUCUCCAAAACCUCUGGAGGAUGCCAGAUCGAUGAAGACUUCUUUAGUUAAUUAAUCAAUUACUGGUUAAUAAAGCUCUGGUUGGCCACUCUGAGAACAGGAUGCUGGACCAGAUGGAGCUUUGGUAUGUUCCAGGAGAAUUAUUAUUCUUUAAAAAAAAAAAAAGUAUUUUAUUUUUAUUGAUUUUCAAUGAAGAACAAUAAACAGAAGCAAAACAAAACAAAGCAUGGAUUCAUGGAUGAGACAAAACCAAACCAAAUUCAUGGAUUAGAUCUCUCCACACAGCAUUGACUAUACUGAUUUGUUUAUAUAUUAAAUGAACAAAUGCUAUGUACUUAUCAAUUUAUCUUUCUCACAUUGCCCCCUUACCAUCCUACUGUGUUGAGUCAAUUGUUCUGACAAUGCCAUUUCCCAUAUUCUAACAAACCAUGCUUGCAUGAAGAUGCUCCUCUGUUUUCCCUGGCCACUGAUUCCAUUCUGGUGGCUACAAUCAAAAAAUGUAACCAGAGUUCAAGAUUGAAUUUCAGGAUUUAGAUCAAUUUCAAGUGCUAGGAGAGGCAGCACUAGAGCAGGGCCGUAUUCUUUCUUUCUUUCUUUCUUUCUUUCUUUCUUUCUUUCUUUCUUUCUUUCAUACUGUAUAUAUAUAUACACACACAUGCAUUUACCACAAAGGCAUUUCAGAGCAGUUGGCAAGUAAAAUAGUUUCAAAUCCACAAAACAAUGAUUAAAAACAAGGCAGUGAGUCACUACCAGUCAACAAAAAAUACCAGUAGCGCCAUCAGUUUCCACCACAGUCUUGAGCAAAUAAAAAAACCCUUGCCUUCAUCUGGCAUCUAAAAUUUAGAAGAGCAAAGUGCUAGCCAUAUCACAAAGGAGAGGGUUUCCAAAACUGGGGUGCCUCCUAACAAGAAUGCUCUUACCUAUGUUGGCGUAUAACGGCCCUCAACCAAAGAUGGUUAAUCUGUAAAACAAGAUAAUCUUUAAUAAAAACAAAAACCCCCCCAAACCCCCCAAAGAUGGUUAAAAUCCCUGGUUGAUCUUAACCAAUGGACACAGUCUAGUCAGGAAAAUAUACUAUUACAAGAGCCUUGCUCCCCUGUUGCAUAGGAGUUUAUGUCCUUAAGUCCAUCUUCUGGAGCAAAUGGCUUUUAUUAUUGAUCAGGCAAUAUGGUGGACGAGUGGAGAAAGAGGGAAGGAAAGAAAAGGUGAUAAAAACCCCCAUAAUGAUUUGGGGACUCCUGGAUUCUGCACUACUCCUCUGUGGAGAAAAUGUGAACUUUUCCAUAAGCCCUCCUGGAAUUAUCUUCAACGAUGCAAAGAAAAUACAAGCUAAUUAUAAAAGGCACAUUGUCUAUUAAUAUGUUAAUGAAGCGAGGCUGCUAAUGGAGAGAUCUGAAUUUUAAUACAUUUUAAGAGCUUCAUGAUUAUGUGUUUGUUAGUUGAUAUGAUCAUUACAAAUUAGCUGUACAUGGUUUUACCCUGACUAAAGUCUAUAUUAAGCCCUGUAUUCUAAACAGGCUUUAAUGAAGCAGGUGAGUGGGCCAUCUGUGUCACAAAGAUUGUCACUAAGAAAUUUGCAUUCAGAAGAAAUGCAUGCCAGCUAACAAGCAAAUAAAGCAUCAGGCAUGGUGGUUUAUUGUUUACAAAACAACAUUUUCAUACAUCGCCAUAUAUCCUGAUAAUAACUCUGAUGUACAUUUCUACAACAGUAGCUCUGUAAAAGUUUGUUUUUAAUUUUAAGAGAUCAUAGUAAACUUUUAUGGUUUCCCUACAACAACAGAGAGUUUGAACACAUAGUGGAAGCAAUGUGAUAACUAACAGCAUAAAGAACCAAGAAUUCAACUGAGAUUUUUCAGCUUUACAACUGAGAUUUUUCAGCUGUAACUUUUGAAAUUAUGGGUUGUUCCUAAACUAGCCAUCGGAUGCGGGUGGCACUGUGGGUUAAACCACAGAACCUAGGGCUUGCCGAUCAGAAGGUUGGCGGUUCGAAUCCCCGCGACAGGGUGAGCUCCCGUUGCUCAGUCCCUGCUCCUGCCAAGCUAGAGGUUUGAAAGCAUGAAGUGCAAGUAGAUAAAUAGGUACCGCUCCAGCGGGAAGGUAAAUGGCAUUUACGUGCGCUGCUCUGGUUCGCCAGAAGCGGCUUAGUCAUGCUGCGCACAUGACCCAGAAGCUGUACGCCGGCUCCCUCAGCCAAUAAAGCAAGAUGAGCGCUGCAAUCCUAGAGUCGUCCACGACUGGACCUAAUGGUCAGGGGUCCCUUUACCUAAAUUAGCCAACAUGUGAAGGUAGAAAGGACCUUGGAAAGGCACAGCGUGGGGAUCAGAGUAGGUCACAGGUUCCCUGCUUUGUCUUAAAGGACUUUAUGAUCUGAAAAUAGAGACGAUGUAUGUGCUUCUGUAACCCAAGAAAAUCGUUAAUAAAAACUUAAAAUAAUAAGAAGAAAAAUGCACACCAGAGUGGCUUGUGAGAUCCUGGGACACACAUCUGCGCUCAUUCCAAAAUUGCACACUAUUACAAGUUCUGUCCCACUUUAACUCAUGCUUGAGAGCAGCAGUAGCUAUUUGACAAGUAAGAAAAAGCUUUGUCCUUUUAUCUGUCUGCAAAUCAUCGCCAGCAAAGAUCCUUGAGGAACACAACUUUGUUUACUUCCAUUGUGAAGACACCCAGUUUAUGCUUACUAUCCACUGCUUGUCCUAAAGUUUAAUCGGUUAUUGAUCCCAUGACUGUUAAGUUCAGGAAAUACUAUGGGCUAUUCCAUCUUUUUUAAAAGUAAAACAAUUGUCCCUAUCAAUUUCAGACUUGUCGGGAAACCAAGAGGAAGACAGAUGCAUUUGUUCUGAAAGUCUGGUGGCAUCAUUCCUGACCCCUCCUUCUAGCACCAGUCUCUGGCAGCCUGCCUUAGCUUCCACCUGUAAAAUGGCAAUAAUAGCUACCUAUAUCUCCAGGGUGCUCUUGUGCAUGUGCAUCAUGCAUGGUUUAAGAUUGUAUGAGCUGCACCAUGAGGCAUUUGGGAGAAGCCUAUCAGAAGGUUGACGGUUCGAAUCCCCACAACGGGGUGAGCUCCGGUUGCUCUGUCCCAGCUCCUGCCAACCUAGCAGUUCAAAAGCAUGCCAGUGCAAGUAGAUAAAUAGGUACCACUGUGGCAGGAAGGUAAACAGCGUUUCCGUGCACUCUGGUUUCCGUCACGGUGUUCUGUUCCAGCAGAAGUGGUUUAGUCAUGCUGGUUGCAUGACCCGGAAAGCUGUCUGUGGACAAACAGCGGCUCCCUCGGCCUGAAAGUGAGAUGAGGGCCGCAACCCCAUAGUCACAUUUGACUGGACUUAACCAUCCAGAGGUCUUUUACCUUUUUAUAUAAAACAAGUAGUAAGGGCCACCUAUUGUCCAUGUGUGCUAGGCUUAGUUUUAGUUGGGAAUGAGAGCCAUAAGUAUAGGCAAGUAAAUUAUUCCCCCUUUUACCUCCCCUCCUCCCUCUUCCUGCCCCUUCUGAUUGUCAGCUGUUAGAUUCUAAGGUUCUCAAUAAAGAACCAUGGAAAGCCACAUAAUUAUCACCAUCCAUUACAAUCAUAGUACAUUAUAUUAUUAUACAACAACAAUAAGCAAAAUAUUAACACACUCUUCUUUCUUAUCAUUGCAGCAUGUUCCAAGGCUGAACCCUAACACCAAGAACAUAUUCUGGGUCUCAGGCUGAAUCCAGUUUUUACUCAUGGCUAAAUAUACUUCUUGAAAACAACAUCAUUUAUAUCACAUGUGAUACACUGAUGGAAUCCAGG